GACGAACGCUGACGGUGUGCUUUAGACAUGCAAGUCGAACGCGAAAGCCCUUCGGGGUUAGUAGAGUGGCGAACGGGUGAGUAACACGUGGGCAAUCUGCCCCUCGCAGGGGGACAACCGGAGGAAACUCCGGCUAAUACCCCGUACGCUUGCUGGACCGCAUGGUCCGGCAAGGAAAGGUAGCUUCGGCCAUCCGGCGAGGGAUGAGCCCGCGGUGCAUUAGCUAGUUGGUGGGGUAACGGCCCACCAAGGCGACGAUGCAUAGCUGGUCUGAGAGGAUGAUCAGCCACACUGGGACUGAGACACGGCCCAGACUCCUACGGGAGGCAGCAGUCGGGAAUCUUGCGCAAUGGGCGAAAGCCUGACGCAGCAACACCGUGUGAGCGGCGAAGG
rnacentral:rRNA from 1 species